rnacentral:ncRNA from 2 species
GCGUUGGAUUGUUCACCCAC